rnacentral:misc_RNA from 1 species
CCAAUAGCGUAUAUUAAAGUUGUUGUGGUUAAAAAGCUCGUAGUUGAACCUUGGGCCUGGCUGGCCGGUCCGCCUCACCGCGUGUACUGGUCCGGCCGGGCCUUUCCCUCUGUGGAACCUCAUGCCCUUCACUGGGUGUGACGGGGAAGCAGGACUUUUACUGUGAAAAAAUUAGAGGGCUCCAAGCAGGCCUAUGCUCGAAUACAUUAGCAUGGAAUAAUAAAAUAGGACGUUCGGUUCUAUUUUGUUGGUUUCUAGGACCGCCGUAAUGAUUAAUAGGGACAGUCGGGGGCAUCAGUAUUCAAUUGUCAGAGGUGAAAUUCUUGGAUUUAUUGAAGACUAACUACUGCGAAAGCAUUUGCCAAGGAUGUUUUCAUUAAUCAGGAACGAAAGUUAGGGGAUCGAAGACGAUCAGAUACCGUCGUAGUUCUAACCAUAAACGAUGCCAACCAGCGAUUAGCCUGAGUUCCUUAAAUGACUCGGCUAGCAGCUUCCG